GACGAACGCUGGCGGCGUGCUUAACACAUGCAAGUCGAACGGAAAGGCCUUUUCGGAGGUACUCGAGUGGCGAACGGGUGAGUAACACGUGGGUGAUCUGCCCUGCACUCUGGGAUAAGCCUGGGAAACUGGGUCUAAUACCGGAUAGGACCGCACUUUAGUGUGUGUGGUGGAAAGUUUUUUCGGUGUAGGAUGAGCCCGCGGCCUAUCAGCUUGUUGGUGGGGUAAUGGCCUACCAAGGCGGCGACGGGUAGCCGGACUGAGAGGUUGGUCGGCCACAUUGGGACUGAGAUACGGCCCAGACUCCUACGGGAGGCAGCAGGGGGGAAUAUUGCACAAGGGGCGCAAGCCUGAUGCAGCGACGCCGCGUGGGGGAUGACGGCCUUCGGGUUGUAAACUCCUUUCGCCAGGGACGAAGCGUUUUGUGACGGUACCUGGAGAAGAAGCACCGGCUAACUACGUG
rnacentral:rRNA from 1 species